AAGAAUACAAAUUUAAUUGUUAAAUUUGUAAAGUCCUCAUUUGCAUCUCUUUCAGCAAGACCACAAAGUGCUUUCAUUAAAUGACCUACAGAAGAAAAAUAGUUGGUUUUCCGUCUUCUUUAUAUAUCAUAAAAAAGUAAGGCAUGAAGUAGUAUCAGGAAUGUCAAUUUCUUUUCUGGUUUUACUGUACAACUCAUAUGUUUCGGAUGUGGACUAUAAACUCUUUCAGCCCUCAGCUGAGGGGCAGCACUGUUGCUUCUUUAACAACUGCUUUUCUCUCAAAUUGUUUAUUCAGGCAGUUAAAAAAAA